CAGACAGCACAAGUACACGGUAC
rnacentral:siRNA from 1 species